rnacentral:rRNA from 1 species
ACGCUGGCGGCGUGCCUAACACAUGCAAGUCGAGCGAGAAAAUUUCCUUCGGGGGAUGAGUACAGCGGCGGACGGGUGAGUAACACGUGAACAACCUGCCCUUGAGACCGGGAUAACACCGGGAAAUCGGUGCUAAUACCGGAUACGCUCUGUGGUUCGCAUGGACUGUAGAGGAAAGGUUUACUGUUCAAGGAUGGGUUCGCGUCUGAUUAGCUAGUUGGUGAGGUAAAGGCCCACCAAGGCGACGAUCAGUAGCCGGCCUGAGAGGGUGGACGGCCACACUGGAACUGAGACACGGUCCAGACUCCUACGGGAGGCAGCAGUGGGGAAUUUUGCGCAAUGGGGGAAACCCUGACGCAGCGACGCCGCGUGAGCGAAGAAGGUUUUCGGAUCGUAAAGCUCUGUCACAGGGGAAGAUAAUGACGGUACCCUGGGAGGAAGCCCCGGCUAACUACGUGCCAGCAGCCGCGGUAACACGUAGGGGGCAAGCGUUGUCCGGAAUUACUGGGCGUAAAGGGCGCGUAGGCGGUUAUAUAAGUCAGAUGUGAAAGGCCAGGGCUCAACUCUGGGAUUGCACUUGAAACUGUAUAACUUGAGGGCAGGAGAGGUAAGUGGAAUUCCUGGUGUAGCGGUGAAAUGCGUAGAUAUCAGGAGGAACACCAGUGGCGAAAGCGACUUACUGGCCUGGCUCUGACACUGAGGCGCGAAAGCGUGGGGAGCGAACAGGAUUAGAUACCCUGGUAGUCCACGCCGUAAACGAUGGGUACUAGGUGUAGGAGGUAUCGACCCCUUCUGUGCCGCAGCAAACGCAAUAAGUACCCCGCCUGGGGAGUACGGCCGCAAGGUUGAAACUCAAAGGAAUUGACGGGGGCCCGCACAAGCGGUGGAGUAUGUGGUUUAAUUCGACGCUACGCGAAGAACCUUACCGGGGCUUGACAUCCUUCGCAAUCUGUUGAAAGGCAGAGUUCCCUUUUGGGACGGAGAGACAGGUGGUGCAUGGUUGUCGUCAGCUCGUGUCGUGAG